CCUACGGGAGGCAGCAGUGGGGAAUAUUGCACAAUGGGGGAAACCCUGAUGCAGCAACGCCGCGUGAGUGAAGAAGUCAUUCGUGAUGUACAGCUCUAUCAGCAGGGAAGAAAAUGACGGUACCUGACUAAGAAGCCCCGGCUAACUACGUGCCAGCAGCCGCGGUAAUACGUAGGGGGCAAGCGUUAUCCGGAUUUACUGGGUGUAAAGGGAGCGUAGGCCGGCUUUUAAGUCAGCUGUGAACGUCCGCGGCUCAACCGUGGAAUUGCAGUUGAAACUGGAGGCCUUGAGUGCACACAGGGAUGCCGGAAGUCAUGGUGUAGCGGUGAAAUGCUUAGAUAGCAUGAAGAACUCCGAUCGCGAAGGCAAGUGUCCGGGGUGCAACUGACGCUGAGGCUCGAAAGUGCGGGUAUCAAACAGGAUUAGAUACCCUUGUAGUC
rnacentral:rRNA from 1 species